rnacentral:rRNA from 1 species
AUUGAACGCUGGCGGCAGGCCUAACACAUGCAAGUCGAACGAGUGGCGGACGGGUGAGUAAUGUCUGGGAAACUGCCUGAUGGAGGGGGAUAACUACUGGAAACGGUAGCUAAUACCGCAUACCAUCGGAUGUGCCCAGAUGGGAUUAGCUAGGUGGUGGGGUAACGGCUCAACAAGGCGACGAUCCCUAGCUGGUCUGAGAGGAUGCCCGGCCACACUGGAACUGAGACACGGGCCAGACUCCUACGGGAGGCAGCAGUGGGGAAUAUUGGACAAUGGGCGAAAGGCUGAUGCAGCCAUGCCGCGUGUAUGAAGAAGGCCUUCGGGUUGUAAAGGACUUUCAGCGGGGAGGCGUUACCCGAAGAAGAAGCACCGGAUAACUACGUGCCAGCAGCCGCGGUAAUAC